rnacentral:sRNA from 1 species
AGCCCUUUGGGGCUUCGACUGAUUUCAUUCGUUUCCCACAUUUCGACCUUAAAACAUCUAAAUUUGUUGUUCAGUUUCAAAUUAUUUCUUUGUUCGGUUUUCUAACGAAUCAAUCAUGUGUUGCGGACCUUGUGGACCUUGCUGCGGACCCUGCGGACCUUGCUGUGGACCCUGUGGUCCUUGCUGCGGACCUUGUGGGCCUUGCUGCGGACCGUGUGGUCCUUGCUGCGGACCCUGCCUAGGACCAAACACCUGCGGUCCUUGCUUUGCGUGCGGACCCUGUGGUGGCUGCUUCCCUUGUUAGAAGCAUUUAAAAUUCUUCCACUUGGAAGAAAUCGUAAAAUCAUGUAAAAUUAAGAAGGACCUAUAGGCUGUAAAAAGCGGCACAAUGGCAUCCUUCAAAGUCAUCUAAAUCCAUCAUGCAUAUAUACGUAAACCGUACAAAUGAAAUUGAAGCAAGUCAGCAAUAAAAAAAAUUAGAUUGGGA